UACGGAGGGGGCGAGCGUUAUUCGGAAUUAUUGGGCGUAAAGGGCGCGUAGGCGGCCCUGUAAGUCAAAGGUGAAAUCCCUCGGCUCAACUGAGGAACUGCCUUUGAAACUGCAGGGCUUGAGUCCGGGAGGGGGUAGCGGAAUUCCCAGUGUAGCGGUGAAAUGCGUAGAUAUCAGGAGGAACACCGGUGGCGAAGGCGGUUCUCUGGGCAUUACCUGACGCUGAGGAGCGAAAGUGUGGGGAGCGAACAGG
rnacentral:rRNA from 1 species